rnacentral:rRNA from 1 species
UACAGAGGUCUCAAGCGUUGUUCGGAUUCAUUGGGCGUAAAGGGUGCGUAGGUGGCGCUGUAAGUCGGGUGUGAAAUUUCGGAGCUUAACUCCGAAACUGCAUUCGAUACUGCGGUGCUUGAGGACUGGAGAGGAGACUGGAAUUCACGGUGUAGCAGUGAAAUGCGUAGAGAUCGUGAGGAAGACCAGUGGCGAAGGCGGGUCUCUGGACAGUUCCUGACGCUGAGGCACGAAGGCCAGGGGAGCAAACGGGG